UUGACCUCGGAUCAGGUAGGGAUACCCGCUGAACUUAAGCAUAUCAAUAAGCGGAGGAAAAGAAACCAACAGGGAUUGCCCCAGUAACGGCGAGUGAAGCGGCAAGAGCUCAAAUU
rnacentral:rRNA from 8 species